rnacentral:rRNA from 1 species
GUCGCCUGGGGAGUCCUUUACGGGCGAGUAACGCGUGCCAAAGCGCCCUUUCCUGUGGAAGAUCUCCGGGAAACCCGUAUUGCGUCUGCGUACGCCCUUCGGGGGAAAGGUUGCUCUUCCGCGGAUUGGCCCGCGUUGGACGCGUAGUUGGUGGGGUAAAGGCCUACCAAGGCGACGGUCCAUAGCUGGUCGUUAAGGAUGAUCGCCCACGUUGGUUCUGAGCCAGGAUCAAACUCUAAACGGGAGGCAGCAGUGGGGAAUAUUGGACAAUGGGCGCAAGCCUGAUCCAGCCAUGCCGCGUGAGUGAUGAAGGCCUUAGGGUUGUAAAGCUCUUUCACCGAUGAAGAUAAUGACGGUAGUCGGAGAAGAAGCCCCGGCUAACUUCGUGCCAGCAGCCGCGGUAAUACCAAGGGGGCUAGCGUUGUUCGGAAUUACUGGGCGUAAAGCGCACGUAGGCGGAUAUUUAAGUCAGGGGUGAAAUCCCGCAGCUCAACUGCGGAACUGCCUUUGAUACUGGGUAUCUUGAGUAUGGAAGAGGUAAGUGGAAUUCCGAGUGUAGAGGUGAAAUUCGUAGAUAUUCGGAGGAACACCAGUGGCGAACGCGGCUUACUGGUCCAUUACUGACGCUGACGUGCGAAAGCGUGUGGAGCAAACAGGAUUAGAUACCCUGGUAGUCCACGCCGUAAACGAUGAAUGU